UACGUAGGGUGCGAGCGUUAAUCGGAAUUACUGGGCGUAAAGCGUGCGCAGGCGGUUUUGUAAGCCAGAUGUGAAAUCCCCGGGCUUAACCUGGGAAUGGCAUUUGGGACUGCAAGGCUGGAGUUUGGCAGAGGAGACUGGAAUUCCCGGUGUAGCAGUGAAAUGCGUAGAUAUCGGGAGGAAUACCGAUGGCGAAGGCAGGUCUCUGGGCUGUAACUGACGCUCAUGCACGAAAGCGUGGGGAGCAAACAGG
rnacentral:rRNA from 1 species